rnacentral:rRNA from 1 species
UGCAAGUCGAACGGUGAAAGCGGAGCUUGCUCCGCUGGAUCAGUGGCGAACGGGUGAGUAACACGUGGGCAACCUGCCCCUGACUUCGGGAUAACUCCUCGAAAGAGGUGCUAAUACCGGAUACGAAUCCUGCAGGCAUCUGCGGGAUUGGAAAGUUUUUCGGUCAGGGAUCGGCCCGCGUCAGAUUAGGUAGUUGGUGGGGUAAUGGCCUACCAAGCCGACGAUCUGUAGCUGGUCUGAGAGGACGACCAGCCACACUGGGACUGAGACACGGCCCAGACUCCUACGGGAGGCAGCAGUGGGGAGUCUUGGACAAUGGGCGCAAGCCUGAUCCAGCCAUGCCGCGUGGAUGAUGAAGGCCCUAGGGUUGUAAAAUCCUUUCGUUGGGGACGAUAAUGACGGUACCCAAAGAAGAAGCUCCGGCUAACUUCGUGCCAGCCGCCGCCGUAAUAC